AUUAAUAAUAUCAAAGCCAAAGGUUAAGAAUUUGAAAGCGUAACAGAACCAUAAAUUACUGGUCAGCUCAACAGCAAAGCCUGUGUAGGUCUCAUCUGGGAUUCCAUUCGGCUCAGCUGCCAGAGAUGAUUUUAGGACGCUGAGUUUUGUAGUUCUCUUGCAGACAGGGGCAUCCAGACAGGUAUCUGGGCUGAUUUGUCUGAAGUUACAUAGGACAACUUUUAUAAUAACUGUAUUUUACACUCUGGUACAUAUCUCAAAGGAAAUAUAAGACCAAAAGUAACAAAUGGACAAGAAAACAUCCUCUUUCAAGUUCUUUAUUGCAUGGAAGGAGGAAUCUGUGCUGCGUGCACAGUUAUGAUCGUGGAGCUGUACAACUGUGCAGAAAGGCAGAAUUAGAUUUUGACAUUAAGAAUUUGCCUUGAAAACAAAAUGAAACCAUUAAAAUCCAUUCUAAAUGUGAUUAGUGAUGGUAAUAAAAUGUUGGCAGGGUGAGAAUUCCUUAUAUUCUGUUCACAGAAUGUAACACUCAGCAGGUUGUCUGAGCAUAAAAUCUCAUACAGAGGUACAAUGGAUACUGACUGUUUGGAAGUUAAUUUGUUUGCCAAGCUCUAAUUUUUCACUGAACCUUAUGACUUAAUUAGGAUACUUGAGGAGUCAGUUGCAAGGAAAAUGUGCUCUGGUUUACUGAGCUCAUGUUUCUUUCUCUGACUGUGCUUCCAAGAACUUCAGCAGGUAAAAUUAGCAAGCAAACGCGAUCACUGGGAAAUUAUAUUCUCUGGAGCUUUGUUGUCAACAGCUAAAACCUGAAGGCAGCAUUUUUGUAUAUGGCCGAAACCAAGGCUAGUUUUAGUAGCCUGUGCAAAGAAUGGGGGAAAACGAUCACCUCAAGAUGUCGUCUGAGGACGAAGAACAGCCUGAGAGCCCUCCUGGCUCCCCUUGGUCUUGGAUUCUACUGAUGAAAGAUCCUGGUUGGAUUCGAAACGUCUGGACUCGCAAUCUAAAUGUAAGGAGUAUUGUUGUCUCUUUGAUUUUUACCUCCAGUGCCUUACAGCAGACCUAGCUUGA
rnacentral:lncRNA from 1 species